CGGGAGCGCGAGGUUUUAGCUCCCCCCUGCCGUAUGCGCUCCCGUAUGGGACAAAACGUAGUGUGAACCCAGCCUAAGGCAGAAACUGAGCCAAAUUCAAUAGUUGUAAUUCAUCUGCCCUAUAGUAUCUCAGUCCUGUAUUAUUCUUGCAGCAACAUAUGGCGGCACGUGCAUCCUGCCUCAUUAGACCCUAAAGGGGUACUCUGCUGCUAGAUAUCUUAUGAUAUUUGAUCGUGGGGGUCCUGCUGCUGGGGCCCCUCCGCGAUCUCCUGCAGUCCCCAUCAUUCUUAACAAACCCUGAGUUCCUGCGGCAGUGGUUGUGACGUCACGGCCACGCCCCUUCAUUCAUGUCUGUGGGAAGGGGGGUGUCGACACGCCUCUCCCAUAGACUUGAAUGGAGGGGUGUGGUCUUGAUAAAUCAGCUGUUUUUCGAAUUCUUGAUAACCCCUUCAACCAGAACAGAGAUCUAUUGCAAAUCUUUGUCGCUGUGAAAAAAAAGUUAAUAUUUUACUCAUGGAAAGUAUAUUGCUUGUUCACAUUGGACCUCAGAUUCUUCUGUAAAUAUUCCGAGGAGAUGCGGCUGAGUCUUAAGAACUCCUGAUUCCUAAAAGAAAUCAUGUCCAGUGUUGUAUGUAAUCCAUGGCAUUUGUUGUCGUCUAUGACUUCUUUCGGGAUCCUGUAUUUCUGCAGCGUUUCACUGAUCCGCGUCUUGUACAGCUGAAAAUAAAUUAUUUUAAUACCACGA